UACAGAGGUCUCAAGCGUUGUUCGGAUUCAUUGGGCGUAAAGGGCGCGUAGGCGGCGGGGUAAGUCGGGUGUGAAAUCUCAGAGCUCAACUCUGAAAUGGCACUUGAUACUGCUCUGCUAGAGGACUGGAGAGGAGAUUGGAAUUCACGGUGUAGCAGUGAAAUGCGUAGAUAUCGUGAGGAAGACCCGUGGCGAAGGCGGCUCUCUGGGACGGGUACUGACGGCUGAGACGCGAAAGCGUGGGGAGCGAACAGG
rnacentral:rRNA from 1 species